rnacentral:rRNA from 1 species
GACGAACGCUGGCGGCGUGCUUAACACAUGCAAGUCGAACGGAAAGGCCCUGCUUUUGUGGGGUGCUCGAGUGGCGAACGGGUGAGUAACACGUGAGUAACCUGCCCUUGACUUUGGGAUAACUUCAGGAAACUGGGGCUAAUACCGGAUAGGAGCUCCUGCUGCAUGGUGGGGGUUGGAAAGUUUCGGCGGUUGGGGAUGGACUCGCGGCUUAUCAGCUUGUUGGUGGGGUAGUGGCUUACCAAGGCUUUGACGGGUAGCCGGCCUGAGAGGGUGACCGGCCACAUUGGGACUGGGGUUCCGCCCAGAAUGCUACGGGAGGCAGCAGUGGGGAAUAUUGCACAAUGGGCGGAAGCCUGAUGCAGCAACGCCGCGUGCGGGAUGACGGCCUUCGGGUUGUAAACCGCUUUCGCCUGUGACGAAGCGUGAGUGACGGUAAUGGGUAAAGAAGCACCGGCUAACUACGUG